UGCAAAUGACUAAUAGAUAAAAAGAAAAUAUAUCACCACCAAACUUUAAAUAACACUAAUCUUCUCACCCCUAUUAUUGCCAAAGCUGCAACCAUACCAUUACCUUGCCUAUAAACCAAUGUGAAGUGAACACUAACUAGUUGGUUAAUACAACGAUCAACACCUAUGAGAAAAUUCCACCACGACCCUAGCAAUCCUAUUUAACAACCACUCAAAAACAACACUUUCACAUGCCAUCCCAUGCUAAUAUGCAUUUUCAAGGUAAUUUUAAUAACCCAUAUCUCUACCGUAUCAAUCGGCUCAGAAAAUAAUGAAUGGGCCACAACUUCCUCAUCUCUUAACACCCCACCACAUCCAGCUUCACCCUCACGUUUUGUUGAUAAGGCUCGAACAAUCUCUUUUGGUGAGCCAUACAUUAAUAAACUUGAAAGGACGUGCCCCAAUCAACUGAUUCAUUCAAUAAUAAAAUUGGAUGACUCUCUACUAAAACUUUUCUCCUUGGAAGCGU
rnacentral:lncRNA from 1 species